CAGUCGAGCGAACUGAUGAAGAGCUUGCUUUUGAUCAGUUAGCGGCGGACCGGUGAGUAACACGUGGGUAACCUGCCUGUAAGACUAGGAUAACUCCGGGAAACCGGGGCUAAUACUGGAUAACUUUUCUCUCCGCAUGGAGAGAGAUUGAAAGAUGGCUUCGGCUAUCACUUACAGAUGGACCCGCGGCGCAUUAGCUAGUUGGUGAGGUAACGGCUCACCAAGGCAACGAUGCGUAGCCGACCUGAGAGGGUGAUCGGCCACAUUGGGACUGAGACACGGCCCAAACUCCUACGGGAGGCAGCAGUAGGGAAUCUUCCGCAAUGGACGAAAGUCUGACGGAGCAACGCCGCGUGAGUGAAGAAGGUCUUCGGAUCGUAAAACUCUGUUGUUAGGGAAGAACAAGUAUCGUUCGAAUAGGGCGGUACCUUGACGGUACCUAACCAGAAAGCCACGGCUAACUACGUGCCAGCAGCCGCGGUAAUACGUAGGUGGCAAGCGUUGUCCGGAAUUAUUGGGCGUAAAGCGCGCGCAGGCGGUCUUUUAAGUCUGAUGUGAAAGCCCACGGCUCAACCGUGGAGGGUCAUUGGAAACUGGAAGACUUGAGUGCAGAAGAGGAGAGUGGAAUUCCACGUGUAGCGGUGAAAUGCGUAGAGAUGUGGAGGAACACCAGUGGCGAAGGCGACUCUCUGGUCUGUAACUGACGCUGAGGCGCGAAAGCGUGGGGAGCAAACAGGAUUAGAUACCCUGGUAGUCCACGCCGUAAACGAUGAGUGCUAAGUGUUAGAGGGUUUCCGCCCUUUAGUGCUG
rnacentral:rRNA from 1 species